rnacentral:rRNA from 1 species
UACGUAGGGGGCAAGCGUUGUCCGGAUUUAUUGGGCGUAAAGAGCGUGUAGGCGGCCAGGUAGGUCCGUUGUUGAAAACUCGAGGCUCAACCUCGAGACGUCGGCGGAAACCCUCUGGCUAGAGUCCGGAAGAGGAGAGUGGAAUUCCUGGUGUAGCGGUGAAAUGCGUAGAUAUGCGGAGGAACACCGAUGGCGAAGGCAAUCCCCCUGGACCUGUACUGACGCUCAUGCACGAAAAGCGUGGGGAGCAAACAGG